GAGACACUACUGUGGAAAACCUGGAAGGUAAAAGUGAAGCAGCAGCCAUUUUGUAGCUGACCCGUAUUGUCUCUGAUCUACUGACUCAUCUCAUUGGCAUGAAGCAGUGGCCACAUCUGAAACUACUCCAUCAUCCCCUGGAUCUUUCUUCAGCUUCUCUUACUCCUUGGCCAGAUGUUGUGGAAGAUGCAACCAUGACUAAGCAGUAGCUAUCCUCCAGAAGACAACAGUCUUACAGCAAAGAUAAAACAAGCCAACAAAUAUGCAAUGGGGAAGUAAAAAGAGAUAGCAAUGUCGCUGUUAGGGGAGAGGAUUUGGCGAUUUAUAGAAGAAGAGAGAAAUAAGGAAGAAGAAAAGAGGAGAGAAAAAGUGAAGAAAGACAAAUCCAGAUGAUCUUGGAAGCUCACUUCCUCCCAUGUGGGAGCUUAGCAAGAUACUAAUAACAGCUGAGGUGGGACAGGGACUCUUCUAAUAAGCUUACUUCGUAAAUCAGGAACAGUUACCUAAAACAGUUAGCACUGUUACAGAGUCAAGAGACCAGAGGUUCUCCGUCCUCCUAGGUAGAAAUAUGCAGAACUUUACAUACGGGGUCCCUCGGCUAGAGGCCUGUCCAUGGUGUCUGCAGGCUGGCUAUGCUCAGAUUAAGCAAGACUCUUUGUGGGAUAAGAAAAGCCACUUUGUUGGUAUUCCUAUCAAAAAUUUAAAUAACCUGAAUCUAAUCAUGAGGAAACAUCAGAUAAACCCAAAUGGAGAAACAUUCUAAAAAAGAACUGACCUUACUCUUCAAGAAUAUCAAUGGCAAGAAAAAUUCAGGAAGUGUUCCAGACUAAAGGAGACAAAAGUGACAGUUGAAGGCAAUGCGUGACUAGAAAUUUCCUUUUGCUAUAAAGAAUAUUAAAGAGGUAAUUGGUGGAAUCUGAAUAAAGUACAUAGAUUGUUAAUUAUAUUGCAUAAGUGUUAAUUUCCUGGUUUUGAUCAUUGUAAAGUAGUUAUAUAAGAGAAUGCAUUUGUUUGUAGAAAUAUACACUAACAUUCUUAGGGGAAAGGGCAUCAAUCAAAUUACUAAUUACUGUCAAAUGAGAGAGCCAGAGAAUAAACAAAUGAAGUAAAAUGUUAAUAUUUUGGAAAUCUGGGUGAAAAGGAUUUAGAAAUUUUUCAUAAUAUUUUUUCAACCUUUUUAUCAGUCUGAAUUUUGUCAUUUUUUUAAAGGGAUGGGAA
rnacentral:lncRNA from 10 species